rnacentral:rRNA from 1 species
AGCGAACGCUGGCGGCAGGCCUAACACAUGUAAGUCGAACGAACCCUUCGGGGUUAGUGGCGGACGGGUGAGUAACACGUGGGAACGUGCCUUUAGGUUCGGAAUAACUCAGGGAAACUUGUGCUAAUACCGAAUGUGCCCUUCGGGGGAUAGAUUUAUCGCCUUUAGAGCGGCCCGCGUCUGAUUAGCUAGUUGGUGAGGUAAUGGCUCACCAAGGCUACGAUCAGUAGCUGGUCUGAGAGGAUGACCAGCCACAUUGGGACUGAGACACGGCGCAAACUCCUACGGGAGGCAGCAGUGGGGAAUCUUGCGCAAUGGGCGAAAGCCUGACGCAGCCAUGCCGCGUGGAUGAUGAAGGUCUUAGGAUUGUAAAAUCCUUUCACCGGUGAAGAUAAUGACUGUAGCCGGAGAAGAAGCCCCGGCUAACUUCGUGCCAGCAGCCGCAGUAAAAC